CUUAGCAGGACCCGGUCGCAAGAAGAAGGACAUGGGUUCACCGUCCACAGUCAUGAACAGAACGGGGGAGAUGUCAGAUAUGGCCUCAUCCUGCUGUUCGGACGGCAUGGUUUAUAAGGUCUCACCUAGUGGAGGAGGCUUUCCCGCCGCAACAAAACCAAAACACAGCCACAGGCUACUUCCGGGUCUUCAACUUCCUCGGCGGAUUGAUUCCAGGUAGUGUUGCGUUACUGCCCCCUCUGUUGGCUGUUUGAGACCAUGUGAAGGAAUUGGGCUGGCCUGUUUACUGUAUCACCUCAGCAACCUUUCCUCCCUCGCAGUCUUGACAGCUACUUUAUUGUUAUUGGCUUUAUUGUUCCUCUCUCUCCAUGGCCCAACCAGCUGAAACAAUACAACAGCUACGAGGUGCUGCAAC